GUCAACUCGUUUCGCUUCCAAUGAUCAAUGAGUCGCUUCGUAUGCUCAUCUACUCUGCGACUCAAGUUUUUUUUUUUUUUUUUGGAUCAAAAAGACCUAAAAAGGCCGAGACUCAAUUAAUAGCUUCAUGAAUUACAUACUCGUGAAUUUCUUUAGGGUAAUUCACGUCAAAAUCCCAAGAGCAACUGUUAUUUAAAACAAAAUUGCAAAUUUAUUACAACUUCUAGGAGCCCACGUCACGUCGGCCGCUUCAAAAGUCUUCAAUUGCAUGCAAGCAUCGUACGCACGCUGCCCCAGAAUCGUGAAAUCCUGCCCAUUUCUUCUAAUCUUGUUUACAAUGCUUGCGUUGUCUGAUUCAAAGACCACUCUUUGAAGCUUUAAUUUCCUGGCCAGCUGCACCCCUUCUUCUAGCGCCAACAGCUCUGCCCACUCGCUAUUCAACGUCGAUUCUUUAGAGCCCCCACAGCCGCCCACCACAAAGCCCUCGUCGUCCCUUGCAAUAACCCCGAAACCCAUUCUUCCAUUUGAGACAGUAGCAUCGACGUUGAUCUUGACCCAGCCCAGGUUUGGUUUUUUCGAGUUUUAACAAACAGGGUUGAGAGGGAUAAUCGGCUU
rnacentral:lncRNA from 1 species